rnacentral:tRNA from 1 species
GUCGUAGUUUUUAACGGUAAAACGACUGACUUGCAUUUAGUUAUUACGAGUUCGAGUCUCGUCGACGCCA